rnacentral:rRNA from 1 species
AUUGAACGCUGGCGGCAGGCCUAACACAUGCAAGUCGAACGGUAGCACAGAGAGCUUGCUCUCGGGUGACGAGUGGCGGACGGGUGAGUAAUGUCUGGGAAACUGCCCGAUGGAGGGGGAUGACUACUGGAAACGGUAGCUAAUACCGCAUAACGUCGCAAGACCAAAGUGGGGGACCUUCGGGCCUCACACCAUCGGAUGUGCCCAGAUGGGAUUAGCUAGUAGGUGGGGUUAUGGCUCACCUAGGCGACGAUCCCUAGCUGGUCUGAGAGGAUGACCAGCCACACUGGAACUGAGACACGGUCCAGACUCCUACGGGAGGCAGCAGUGGGGAAUAUUGCACAAUGGGCGCAAGCCUGAUGCAGCCAUGCCGCGUGUAUGAAGAAGGCCUUCGGGUUGUAAAGUACUUUCAGCGGGGAGGAAGGCGGUGAAGUUAAUAGCUUCACCGAUUGACGUUACCCGCAGAAGAAGCACCGGCUAACUCCGUGCCAGCCGCCGCGGUAA